rnacentral:rRNA from 1 species
GAUAAAAGGUACUCCGGGGAUAACAGGCUGAUACCGCCCAAGAGUUCAUAUCGACGGCGGUGUUUGGCACCUCGAUGUCGGCUCAUCACAUCCUGGGGCUGAAGUAGGUCCCAAGGGUACGGCUGUUCGCCGUUUAAAGUGGUACGCGAGCUGGGUUUAGAACGUCGUGAGACAGUACGGUCCCUAUCUGCCGUGGGCGUUGGAAGAUUGAAAGGGGCUGCUCCUAGUACGAGAGGACCGGAGUGGACGCACCACUGGUGUUCGGGUUGUCAUGCCAAUGGCAUUGCCCGGUAGCUAAGUGCGGAAAAGAUAACCGCUGAAAGCAUCUAAGCGGGAAACUUGCCUUGAGAUGAGUCUUCCCUGACUCUUUAAGGGUCCUAAAGGAACGUUUAAGACUAAGACGUUGAUAGGUUGGGUGUGUAAGCAUAGCGAUAUGUUGAUCUAACCAAUACUAAUGAACCGUGAGGCUUAACCUG